UGGCACCAUUUUGAAAAAGUUUUCACCUUUAUACAUUCAUUACAGAAUUUUGAAAAUCGACAUUGUCUGGCUAAUCGUACUCUUCACUCUGCAAUUCCGGAACCGGAAGUCGGAUCCAUUAUAAAUUCAAUAGCAGCCUAUAGGAAUGUUGUACCUUUCAUUUGAGACUAAGUUUAUGAAAAUCGGUCCACCCAUCUCUGAGAAAAGUGAGUGAGAUUGCGGUCACAUACACACACAGAAUUGACGGAUUGUAUCGAAUGGUAUAUGUCACUCGGGCCUCCGGGUCUCCGUUUAAAAGACGGUUUUCAGAGCAGUUUUCUAUUGAGAAAGGCAAAACGUAAAUCGUAUGAAUAAUUUGUAGCAAAUAGUGGCACAUUUUACACAUUUAUAAUUAGUGGCUCAUGUCCCUUCAGAUUUGACCGCACUUACCGCUUGAUGACGUCCCAGUUUGAUAUUUCUUUUGAGUGUUUUGAGAAAACUGAGAAAACGAAAAUCGUCAACGCAGGCCUGAAUACGGUUAAAGAAAUAUAAACAAAUUUUGGUAUCCUCGCAUCGUUGUCCGGAGCAGUUGGAUAUCAUUGUCAUCAAUAACCCCAGGGUUGAAAAAUUGAUUCGGUUCUGUGACUUCGAAUCUAAAGACUAUGGCGUGCGGCAUCGAAGAAUUUAUUCCGUGCACUUUAGGUCGUCUUGUUUCAAACACCUAUUAAAUCUAUCUAAAGGAUGAUGAUCGAGUUGCACUUUUUGUUGCCAACGAACGGAAAACAGCGACCAGCUGCUGCAUUUGCUCCACCACCCGUUUUUUCUAAGAGAUCAGAGAUGUGUAUUUUCGCUCUGCAGUUUGUUGCUUUUAGCUAAAUAGUUGAAGAAAUUUUUCUCCUCAAAAUAUUUGAUUAUUUCUGCUGCCUCUGCACUCCUUGCUGUCGUUCGAUUCCGUUCACGUAGCUUCGACGUGCUGCCUCGUGGAUCAUUAACUCGUUGGUAGCGAGCCGCGUGGCUUGUUUCGAUAUUCCACCUAUUACUAUGGGCCUUGGUUGCGUUUAGAUGACCUCGCAUCUGCGUGGUGACUUCAGGAAACUAUUCAGUCAUGUCAAACUGAGGCUUCCAAUAGUCAACACCGGUGAAACAACGUCAUCUCGGUUAUUGACUUCAGAUACAUCGAGCAAUACGGAACAUUUGAACAAGACUGUAGCUUACCCGAGCUCCGAGCCACUACAAUUCCAUUUGACUUUAGUCAUACCGGCUGGAAUAUAAUAUAGAAUUCUGGCUGUCUAAGAGACAAGUAUUUAAA